rnacentral:tRNA from 1 species
GCGCGAGUGGCGGAAUGGCAGACGCGCUAGCUUCAGGUGCUAGUGUCCUUAGGGACGUGUGGGUUCAACUCCCACCUCGCGCA